rnacentral:rRNA from 1 species
UACGAAGGGGGCUAGCGUUGCUCGGAAUGACUGGGCGUAAAGGGCGCGUAGGCGGUUUGCACAGUCAGGCGUGAAAUUCCUGGGCUUAACCUGGGGGCUGCGCUUGAUACGUGUGGACUGGAGUGCGGAAGAGGGUCGUGGAAUUCCCAGUGUAGAGGUGAAAUUCGUAGAUAUUGGGAGGAACACCAGUGGCGAAGGCGGCUCACUGGACCGGAACUGACGCUGAGGCGCGGAAGCGUGGGGAGCAAACAGG